GAAGUCCUUCGCUCAAGCUUGGAAAGAAAACAGGCGACUUACUUCUUCGUCUCGCUCGGGCCUUCAUAUAUCAUCAUCAUCGUCAUCGAAGGUUCAUGUGAUAAAAUAAACCUCAGUUAGAAACUCAUUUACUAAAAUCCAAUCUCGUCUCAAGCUAUAACUAUUCACUCAUCUUCUAUUUACCCAAAUAAACCUCAAUCCCUAGGUACACUUAACUCCCAAGGAUUCACAAGUCCUACUCUCGACUUAACACUCAACUCGGAUUAAAGGCAUAACAAUUAAGCACAUAGACAUGCAUAAGCACAUAAGCAUAUAAAUUCACACAUAGACAUGUCACAAUUAAACAUCAUUCUGCAUUUUCACAAAUUAAAGACUUCACCAGAUUCACUCCAGAACUCUACUGGGGUCGAAACUCAUAUUAUUGGAAACCUCUUUGACUCUAGUUUCAUUUAAAAAAAAGUAGGAUGCAAAACUCCAAGUAUUUCAAAAGAUAUGGCUGUUCUUUUACAGCCUACCAUAUUCGGCAGUUUUGAGCAAUCUCCUAUUUCGAUUUCUGAAAAAAAAAAUAGUAAACGUUGCCUAAAAGGCUUGAAACUUUACCAGUAUGCUCAAGACUCUCAUAUAUACUUCUCAUAAAAUUUUCAUGGUGUUUGGAUAUUAAUAACCUCAUGAAACAGUAGGUACAAAAGAGUUGCAAAACGACUCCACAUUCAACAAAUAAGCAAACAGAGCAGAGAUUACUCGGUAGCCAGAGUAGUGUGAGUUCAACAGACAGAGCAAAAUCAGCUCGGACGCCAGAGCAGAAUAGCUCGGCAGAGCAGAGAAGAAUAACUCGUCAGAACAGAGCAAAAUAGCUCGACAGAGCAGAGCAGAAAAGCUCGACAGAGCAGAGCAGAAAAGCUCGACAGAGCAUAGCAGAAUGACUCGGCAGAGCAUAGCAGAAUGAGUCGGCAGAGCAGAGCAGAAUGGUCAGCUCGGAGGCCAGAGCUGCCCCAAAAACAUUUUUCUUAAACCAAAGCACAAAAGACAUGAAAGUCCCGAUUUUUGAUAAAUUAGACUUUUCAAAACUUCACAAAUGCAAAUGAAACAUUACUCUAACCUUAGAUCUAUCAUUUUAGGCCACUUAAUCACAUACAUAAAUCAUCAAUUAACCAUUUAAAGCAUAGAGACACAUAUACCUAAGCUCAUAAGUUUCAUCCAUCACUUCCAAUCAUCAAUCCAAUCCAUCAAUUAUCAUGUUAAUCAUCUCAUAAGCUCAUACUCAUCAUCAAUUUAUUAUUCAAACCAUAAACUCAAAGAUCUCCCAAUUUUUAGUCAAACUAAACUAUGCAAAAAUUUGCAUCACAAGACCAAGCUUUGCAAUACACACAUCAAUCAUCUCAAAACACCUCAUUAAACAUAUUUCUCAUCCUAAUUUAAGAAAAGAACAAGAAAGAUUUUUGAAGGGGAAAAACUCCCUAUUUUCGAAAAUCUCACAAAAGGGGUGAGGGGGUGUUUUCUUGCUUCAAUCAUGCAUAUAAACUCAUAUACAACAUCAUAGACCACUAAUUUCAUGGAUAUCAAAGCCACUUACCCAAGAUCAAACAAAGAUCUAAGCUUUCUCUCUCUAACUCAAGACUAAUACUCAAGGGUUUCUUGAAUUCAUGAAGCUAGAAGGUGUUUAGCUUAAGGAUAGAGAAGGAUUUAUCUCUUGAAAUGAUUUCGUGGAGCUUGAAGCUCACUUU
rnacentral:lncRNA from 1 species